GGGCGAAAGCCUGAUGCAGCAACGCCGCGUGAGUGAAGAAGGCCUUCGGGUUGUAAAGCUCUGUCUUUUGGGACGAUAAUGACGGUACCAAAGGAGGAAGCCACGGCUAACUACGUGCCAGCAGCCGCGGUAAUACGUAGGUGGCAAGCGUUGUCCGGAUUUACUGGGCGUAAAGGAUGCGUAGGUGGAUAUUUAAGUGGGAUGUGAAAUACCCGGGCUCAACUUGGGUGCUGCAUUCCAAACUGGAUAUCUAGAGUGCAGGAGAGGAAAGUGGAAUUCCUAGUGUAGCAGUGAAAUGCGUAGAUAUUAGGAGGAACACCAGUGGCGAAGGCGGCUUUCUGGACUGUAACUGACACUGAGGCAUGAAAGCGUGGGGAGCAAACAGGAUUAGAUACCCUGGUAGUCCACGCCGUAAACGAUGGGUACUAGGUGUGGGAGUUGUCAUGACUUCCGUGCCGUCGUUAACACAGUAAGUACCCCGCCUGGGGAGUA
rnacentral:rRNA from 1 species